CAGGGGAUAUUUUAUUUAAAAUAUAAACUUUGGAAGUUUAUGAUGGGAAUAUUUUCUCUCCACUGA
rnacentral:tRNA from 1 species